ACUGACUUGAGUGGUGGCCUGGUGGUCGUAUGUAUGACGUCAUUUACUUCAAAGUUUGGAGUGACAUCAUAUGUACGGCUGCUAAACUGCUACAUGGCUCAUCA
rnacentral:pre_miRNA from 1 species